AGAGGGAAACGCAGGAGGAUUCUGAGAUGGAGGCCAGCCUGGGCUGUUUUGGUAACUGAAAUAGAAAAACCGGACAGCAGGCACCACUCCCAAACCCAGAAGAGCAAAGCGAAUGUUGGAAUUCUUGCAGCAGGACCUUUCUUACAGAACCCCCCACCAGGGCCGAGAAGGCCCCUGUGCCCAGUGCUGGUGCAUCUCUGCUGCUGAUCCGGGUACAGCACAUGCAGGGGCUGGGAAAACAGAGUCAGGGUUCCAGAGCUGCUAGGGAACUGGACCUGCCCUGGUGAGGAUCUGGGAGGCAGCGAGCAGACCGGAAGCAGUGCACUUUCCCAGAGCUCCAGCGCUCCAGCAGCCUUGGAGACAGGAAAACUUUCCAAGAAGAGAACCUUAGACACAGUUCCUCACGAGGGAGAGCUCCAGGCAAAGAUCAAGAUGGAGACCAACAAGCCAAGGAUUGUGACUGCCAGAUAAGGUCAGCAAGCCGUCUACCAGAUGUGGAUCAUUCCUUCCUUGUACCAGGGAGGUGGGACAGUGGACACAGAGAGGAGCUCUUGGGCUCCCACAGAGGGUCCCAAAGAAACAGCCCUGGUGCGUAGACUGUGUGAAGUGUUGCCAAUUUCCCCGUACCAUAGAGGGAGAAGACGUGACCCCCAGAAGAACAUGCCUGAGGUUAAAUUCCUUAUCUUUUUGGUAAAAGGUGGCUUUUUGGUUUCCUCUCCUGUUGCUGUGAUAAAGUACUCUGACAGACACAACCUAAGUGAAAAAUGGUUUAUUCUGGCUCUCAGUUCAAGAGUACAGCCCACGGGGUGGCGAGAUGGCUCAGUGGUUUGAGAGCAGGUAUUGUUCUUGCAGGGGACUGGAGUUCAGUUGCCAGGACCGCCUCAGGCAGCUCACAACCCAUAAAUCAAUAAAGAAAAAUCAAUAAAUU
rnacentral:lncRNA from 1 species